rnacentral:tRNA from 1 species
GGAGGGAUGUCCGAAUUGGCAAGGGGCCGGACUUGAAAUCCGGUGAAGGCGCAAGCCGUGUGGGUUCGAGUCCCACUCCCUCCGCCA